GCGAGUCUGGCCGAGCGGUUAAGGCGAUGGUUUUAGGCACCAUUGGGCAUGCCCGCGUAGGUUCGAAUCCUACGGCUCGCA
rnacentral:tRNA from 2 species